AACUAAGAUUCAUAAAAGAAAGAAUGAGGCAUUUGUUCUGGAGAAGACCAGCAACUAGGAAGAACAGAUUUUUUUUCUUUUUCUUUUGGUAAUACUGCCUGAGGGCCCAAAGUGGUCAACCUUUGUCAUAAUUCAUUUGGCAGGCCCGUAAAGAUAGCUCAGUCAUUUAGUCUAACAAAAUAUUUUUUAGCAGUCAGGGUACAUACUUGAUUUGGAUCCAGGGACAAAUGGCUCUCCAAGGGCUUGCUGGCAGGUUGAUGACGCGAUGCAUCAACUGGAUGUAUCAGGACUUAAUAGUACUGAACCAUGGAGCACAUUUAAAAAGCUCACAUACGUUCUCAAAUAUCAUAGAAUAUAACAAAUUUCAUUGCCUUCAACUCAAAUGAUAUUUAGAAUAUGUGCUACAUCAGUCUUUCUGCUCCGGGAUUCAGUAAUGGUCCAAGGUUGUUGUCUUCUUUUCAAAUGUAAAAAGCUUAACUUGAAAUAUGGGUCAUUUAUCUUGGGCAUGGUUUGAAAUGGCAUAUAUUCGAUCAUGUUGUAAUACAUAAUAUCUUACAAUUUAACCAUAAAGGAAGUUACAGCCACACAUCAUUUUGUCCAAAAUCACUGAGAAUGGAGAUGCGCUACUUAAACACAUUUUCUUGAAUACCUUUCUUUUACUUUGAAAUCCUCCAAAAUUAUAAAACUAACUUUUACUCAUUCAGGCUUGAUUUAAACAGAAUCAGCUCCACAAUUGAGCUUCCUAAUGACUUAAAGUUUUUGUGUAAUUAGCUUUUUUAUUACUAAAGUCGGGGAAAGGAGCACUAAAGACAGUCUUACGGAUUUGUCUGGACCUACCUUCAACCUUCAGCACUUCAGAGUCAGAAGGUGUUGCUUUUGCCCUGCCUUCUUGUCAGUGAUUAUGCUUUCUUCUUUUUUGCUUACUCUGAUUUUUAUCUCAGAAAAUAGAUAUUAAACUUCUAAAUCUAAAAUUCCAAAAACAGAAAUACCAAUCCCAUUUAUGCUUUCUUCUUGAGUUAUGUCUCUUGUGGAGAUGGUUAAUUGGUGACCCUUCUCCUUUGCCCCCAUUCCCAAAAGAUAUGUCUACCUCUCAACCUGCAGAGCCUAUGAAUAUUGCCUUAUCCAGAAAAAGGGUCUUUGGAGAUAUAAUUAUGUUUCUUCAGAAGAGGAGCUUAUCUUGGAUUAUUCAAGUAGCUUCCAAAUGCAAUGACAGAUCUUUGUAAGAGAUGCAUAGAGGAGACAGAUGUACAGGAGGAAGCCAAGUGAAGACAGAGGCAAAGAUGAGUGAUCCAGUCACAAGCUUCUGACUGCCAUCAGAAGCUGGAAGAGGUGAGGAACAGAAUCUCCCCUAGAGCCUCUGCCUACACACUGAUUUAGUUUUUUUGUUUUGUUUUUAACUGUUUUGUUCUUUUUCUGUUUAGAGAUGGGGUCUCGCUAUGUUGCCCAGUCUGGUCUCAAACUCCUAGCCUCAAGUGAUCCUUCUCCCUUGGCCUCCCAAAGUGCUGGGAUUACAAGCAUGAGCCACGAUGGCUGGCCCUGAAUUUGGACUUCCGGCCAAAAAACUUUAUGGAGGCUUGUGUUGAUGUGGAGGUGCAGUGAUGUGGAAGUGGCCUGAGAUGCUGAGCUCACAGAUUCAUUCAUAGCUGCUACACAUUCAUCUCUAUAUAAAACCUACUCUCCCCUCUGAAAAAGCAGCAUAACCAGUCAACGAACAAGUAUAUAGGAUUAGCACAUUAUGAAGAAUAAAGAGAAGCUUUCAGCUCUCCGUCAUGGAUGAUAUUUAUCACAUUUUCCACGACUGGCUCUAAUAACAGUGCAGAGAUAAAAUAGGCUUGAUGCAUCUUUCCUGUACAGAGAAUUUUACAACAGCAACUAAAAAGCUGGUGCUGAGGGCGGUUCUCCAAUUAAGACAAAUGAGGCACAUUGAAUUUCUCCCCCAGGGCACAGCAGGGGUGCUGGCAAAAUCUACUUUAUUCUUUUCUGUCAGGACUGAACUGGAAACAAAAGCAUGAAAAUUCAACACAUCCACUUACAGAAUAAUAAAGGCUGUUGUUUAAAGCGUGAAGAGUUUUGGCACCCUUCUGGGGCCUUAUGCAAAUCGCUCUUCCUCUCAACUGCUACCACACCAUCGGUCUUGGAAAUUAAAGAUGUACUUGGUCGGUUAACAGCUGAAAGGAGAAGAGCAGCCUGAAACUCAAUUAGAUUUGUAUUAAGCAAAUAAAUCAGGACUGACUGAUAUUGGCUAAACUAAAAUGCAUUAUGGGCUGACAGUAAUUCUAAUUUGAUGGACAAAUAUAUGUAGUGUGUUAUUAACCUAAAUGAAAGAUGAGAAUCCUUUUUUUUUCUUUUUAAAGGAUUUUGUUCUAGUAAACAAUCCGCUCUCCCUCUGAACUUACACAAAACAAUAAACAGAGACUACUGGUAUGGUUCUGUUUACAAUCCAUGCUCAAGAACACAGGAAAUCUAUUUUCUAUUACGUGGUUAGAGUUUGAGACAAAAUUAUUGUGCUGAAAGACAUUUGUUUUUAUCGAUUUAUUUGGUGUAAUGUAACAUCUCAACACAUUAUUUAUUUGGUACACCAAGCACGCUAUUUUUAUUAUGGUGAGUAACACAAAAGCAUAGACCUGGUAUAUGUCUCAUUAUUUAUUCGGAACCCUGUAGUAUAGGAGGCUUUUCCACACCAGGGCACAUACAAAGGGGCCUCAAAUAUGGUUCAAAGUCAUAAAUGAAGAUUUCAAUAAAAUCCUCCAAAGCUUUGAGGAAAACAAAAAACACUCAACAAAUAGCAUAAACGUGUUGGUGUGUGUGGUUGGAUAAGACAUUUCCUUUGAAAGAAGAGUUUUGGGAGUUUCAACUUACUUCCUUGUCUUUGCUGUUUACACCUUUAGAACUUACAGAAAUGGCCAGGUGUGGUGGCUCACACCUGUAAUCACAGCACUUUGAGAGGCUGAGGCAGGAGGAUGGGUUGAACACAGGAGUUUGAGAUCAGUCUGGGCAACAUGGAGAAAUCCUCAUCUUUAAAACAUACUUUUUGACAAACUUAGCCACGCUUGGUGGCACAUGCCUGUGGUCCCAGCCACUCAGGAGGUUGAGGCAGAGGAUUGCUUGAGCUUAGCAGUUCGAGGUCGCAGUCAACUAUGAUCACACCACUGCAAUCUAGCCUGGGCAACAGAAUGAGACCCUGUCUCAAAAACAACAACGAGAAAAACCUUACAGAGAUUUAGGUCAUUACAUUUAACAUCCUGCUAAAUUAAUAAUUAACUAGUAACUUAAUACUUUUGCUUUGGUUGUAACUAUGUUCUAUUUUCGUCACCUUUUCCUUCUGGCUAUCAGAUUAAAGACUCAUUGACUCACUGUUGUCUUUCAAUUAUCUUUCCUUCUACAUUUCCUACCUGGCUCUUCUUGCCAAAUCCUGCUGCGUUUUGCUCUGCAUAGGUGCCAGAAAUUGUCUAUUUCUCCCCUUCAAAACUUGUCCAAACCUUUGCCCCUGUGUGGGCAGCUUCCUGCCGCAGCUCUUGCCAGUACCUGUUCUCAUAUCUCCUUGUUGGGGCUCAGAAAGCAACACCCCAAAACAUGGUGCUUUGGCACUGCUGAGCACUUUGAACUGGAGAUCAGAAGGCCUUAGAAGCUGCUUCAGAAGCAAAAUCUCUGACCUUCUCCUGUUCUCUCGUCCUCUCCCUCUCCUUCUCCUCCAAAACAAGUUAUAGAGUCUAGAAUUUCUCUUCCCCAAGGCAGGUUAUAGAAACUAGAUCUCCUCUCCCCAAAAAGCAAGCCAUAAAGAAGACCCUCAUUCCAAAGGAGUCCUUCCCUGUAGCCAGGAGGAAGGAAUGCCACACAGAGAGGCCAAGGUGAAUUGGAACAGACAGGGAUUGCUGGGUUUUCACCCCUACAGUCUAUUACCACUAGAUCAUUCCCUUUGUCCAGUCACAUUUCUACGUGGCUGUCUAUUCUUCAUUGAAUCUAAGCAUAAAAACAGACAAUUUUCCCUCAGUCUUUGACUCCUCAUAUCUCAAAGUUUGAGAUAUGAAGACUCAAUCUUUGUCAUGUAAAACUUGAUUAUAUCAAGUAACUUUGUUAUGCCUUUUUUUUUUGAGUUGGAGUCUCGCUGUGUCGCCCAGGCUGGAGUGCUGUGGCGCGAUCUCGGCUCACUGCAAGCCUCGCCUCCCAGGUUCACGCCAUUCUCCUGCCUCACCUCCCGAGUAGCUGGGACUACAGGCACCCGCCACCACACCUGGCUAAUUUUUUUGUAUUUUUAGUAGAGACGGGGUUUCACUGUGUUAGCCAGUGUGGUCUCGAUCUCCUGACCUCAUGAUCCGCCCGCCUUGGCCACCCAAAGUGCUGGGAUUACAGGUGUGAGCCACUGUGCCCAGCCUGUUACGCCUUUUUCUGGUUAAGCUUCCCCCACUCCCCACCUUUUUUUUUGUUUCAGAGGGUAUAUGUGCAGAUGUAUUACAUGGGUAUAUUGUGUGAUGCUGAGAUUUAGGGUACAGAUGGUCUUGUCACCCAGGCAGUGAGCAUAGUACCCAAUAGGUGGUUUUUCAGCCCACGCCCCCUUCCCUUCUCCUUCUAGUAGUCCUCAGUGUCUAUUGUUCCCUUCUUUGUGUCCAUGUGUACUCAAUGUUUAGCUCCUACUUGUGAGAACACACAGUAUUUGUUUUUCUGUUCCUGUGUUAAUUCAUUAAUUCACAUAGGAUAAUGGCCUUCAGCUGUAUCCAUGUUGCAAACGACAUGAUUUUUUUCUUUCUUAUGGCUGUGUAGUAUUCCAUGGUAUAUAUGUACUGUCUUUUGUUAUAGGAGUGUUGGCCAUGACCCUUAUGAUGGAUGAGGAAAGGGAUCAUACCUUUCUGUCCCACAUCCUCUACUGAACAUAUCAAAGAUUCUUGGCCAAAACCAAUUUUCCCUGACACUCUGUCUCAACUGUUCUUUCCCAUUAUAAUUGGUGUUGAUAUGGACAGGAGGCAGAGAAAUACUAGGUAGAAAAGGGUGGGGCUUCUGGCAAGUGUUCUACCCCCAAGCCUGGACCCACGUCCCUAAAUGAGAACUUCACAUCCCUGUUUUUCUGCGCAAAUAUUACCUUAUGUGCUGCCACCCUCACAUCCUGUGUCCAUAAAAACUCCAAGCUCCACUGGCAGAGGAGCCCAGUGGUGUGGCAGAAAAGGAGAGAAGAGAAGAGGCAGCUGGACAUUGGAGACUACAGUCAGAGAGGAGUUUGGCUGUCUCCAGCUGAACUCCAGGGGAAGAUUAUCUUCCUACUCCAUCCCCUUUCCAGCUCCCCAUCCUACUGAGAGCCACUUCCACUGCUCAAUAAAAUCUCCACAUUGAUUAUCCUUCAAGUCUGUGUGAACUGAUUCUUCCUGGAUGCUGGACAAGAACCCAGGUACCAAGAGGGCAGGGUGUAAAAGCCUGUCACCCUGAUCCUCCACUGACCUGGUUUAACACUUAGCCAUCUGUGGAUGGCAAAUGCUAAAAGAUCAUUGUAAGACAUGCCCUCUGGGGCUCUAGAGGUCACUAGCAACCCCUAGACACUGCCAUGGGCCAGUACCAGGUUCGUUCCUUGCUCCUGCACCUGCCAACCUGCAAGCUUCCCCUCCUGUAAGGAGUUUGAGUGCGGUGGCCGAGCAAAGGAGACACCCCUGUUGCAAGUCCCAUGAGGGGGUCAAGGGAACUCUCCCGUCUCAAUAUUCCUCACUGAUAAUGAGAGCAAAGAACACCAUAGAAUGAGACUUCAUGAAUUGCCAUCAAGUUUUGCACACAGUUACUUUCAUCCCAGAUUAAAGUCUCUCUUUUUAGCUUUUCCAACAGUUGUCAUCUCAGACCACUCAACUGCUGCUCUCACUUCUCUCUUCUCCUUCCUCUGCAGAGCUGGCCAUACUCUUUUUUUUUUUGUCACUCUUUUUUUGUUACAUUUUUGCUUGCUUUCUUGUCAUUUCCUUUAAAAUUCAUCAACAAAAUUAGUUUAUUAAACUUUGAUAUCCAUCCCAGUACUCAUAUAUAAUUUGAUAGUGACAAUCCUUCCACUUAUUGUGAGUUUAGAAUAACUUUGUUCUAUAAUAUUGAUUAGGUUCAGGGCACACUAACCCAAAAUAUGGCACCUUGGCAUAUUGAAUAUUUUAAGCUGAAAGAAUCUGAGAAAUUCCCUAUGCUGGAAGGACUUUCUGACUUUCCCUAAAGCAGGUCAUGUGAGAGGUGCCCUCCUUAUACCUGGAGGAAAGGAGCAUCCAUAUCUCCAAAGACACAGGGAUGCUGAGAGGAAUCUGAAUGGACAAGCCUUGUCGUUUCUCCUAGUUUAUUAUAAUUAGCACAUGCCCAUUUUAUGCUAUCAUAUUUCCCCAUGACCGUCUACUCUUCAUCAAACCUAGCAUAAAGCAACCCAGUUUUAAGCACUUCUUUGGGUCUUCAUUUCCUAUUGAAGGCUCCAGUGUCACGCAAAACAUACACAUUUCUAUGAUUCUUUCUUUCUGUCUUUUGUUCCAGGGGCCCCAGCCAAUGAACCUAAAAUGAGUAAAAGAUAAAGAUGUUUUUCUCCUCCCCAACAAUAUUUGAUUAAUGCUUUUUCAGGUUUCAGACUUUUAGUUAACAUUCUGUAUUGUGAGAUUACUUUUAAAAAAUGAGAUUCAAUCUAAUUUCUUAAAUAAACUUGUGUAUACCUCUUUGGUUGUUCAUUUUGGUUUUUUAUUCCAUUUAGGAACAGUAAUGUCAUAGACUUUUGACAUUCACUGGAUGCCCAUUCAAUGGGCCUUCAUAAAUCUCAAUAAUUUUUUUUCAUUUUAAAAAAUCAUGAUAAAACACAUACGACGUAAACUUUACCAUUGUAACCAUUUUUAAGUAUACAAUUCAGUGGCAUUAAGAACAUUCACAAUGUUGUAUGAUGUGGUUCAGAACACACUGCCCCAAAAUAUGGCACUUUGGCAUAUUGAGUAUUUUAAACUGAAGGAAUUUGAGAAAUAGGUGCUAGAAGGACUCUCUGACCUCCUGUUUUUCCCUUGAAGCAGAUCCCAAGACCCUCAUGUAAGAGGUGCCCUUGCUAUACUCAGAGGAAAAGAGCAUCCCUACCUCUGAAGAGGGAGGGAUGCCGAGAGGAAUCUGAAUGAACAGGGCUUGUUGUUUUCCCCAGAUUACUACCCUUAGCUCAUAGCCUUUGUCCUAUUACAUUUUUCCAUGACUUUUUACUCUUCCUCAAAUCUAGUAGAAAAAUGCACAGGCUUAACUGUUGCUUUGUCUUCAUUUCCUUAUAAAGUUUCCUUGGCCACAUAAAACUUACAUUAAAUAAAUUUUUACAUAUUUUUUCUUGUUAAUCUGUCUUUCGUUAGUCUAAUUUACAGGGUCCCAGUCAGAUAACCUAAAAGGAUAGAGACAAAGGAUAUUUUUUUUCUCUCCUAC
rnacentral:lncRNA from 10 species